rnacentral:rRNA from 1 species
AGCGAACGUUUGCGGCGGGCUUAACACAUGCAAGUCGAACGGGCUGUUCCUUCGGGGGCAGUCAGUGGCGCACGGGUGCGUAACACGUAGGUAAUCAACCCUUCAGCUCGGGAUAACACUUCGAAAGGAGUGCUAAUACCGGAUGUGAUGCAGGGCUCUUCGGAGUGCUGCAGGAAAGAUCCGCAAGGGUCACUGAAGGACGAGCCUGCGGCCCAUCAGCUAGUUGGCGAGGUAAUGGCUCACCAAGGCGAAGACGGGUAGCUGGUCUGAGAGGAUGAUCAGUCACACUGGAACUGAGACACGGUCCAGACU